rnacentral:rRNA from 1 species
GACAGAGGGUGCAAACGUUGUUCGGAAUUACUGGGCGUAAAGCGAGUGUAGGCGGUCUGCUAAGUCGGGUGUGAAAGCCCUGGGCUCAACCCAGGAAGUGCACUCGAAACUGGCAGGCUAGAGUACUGGAGAGGUUGGUGGAAUUCUCGGUGUAGAGGUGAAAUUCGUAGAUAUCGAGAGGAACACCGGUGGCGAAGGCGGGCUACUGGGCCGAUACUGACGCUGAUGCGCGAAAGCCAGGGGAGCGAACGGG